GAUAUUGACGCGCAUCGCGGGGGUGGCUGGCGUCGCGUCCGGAUUGAAGGCCGAACCGGGCGCCAGCAGAAUACUGCGUUCAGCGGCAACGCGUGACAACUGCGUGUCGUCGAUAUGCGCCGGCAGUUCGCACCACAUGUAAAACCCGCCGCGCGGCUGUCCGAACACCGGCAGGCCGAGCCGCGCCAGGCUGUCGUUCGCCUGACGGGUGGCGGCUUCGAUGCGCCCGUUCAGCCGCUUGAGAUGACCGCGAUNUGACCGCGAUAGCGCCCGCUGGUGAUGAGAUCGUAGAUGAUCUGUUCGAUGUAGCCCGAG
rnacentral:misc_RNA from 1 species